rnacentral:rRNA from 1 species
GCAGGCUCGCGCUUGAAUACAUUAGCAUGGAAUAAUGAAAUAGGACGUUCCGAUCCUAUUUUGUUGGUUUCUAGGAUUGACGUAAUGAUUAAUAGGGAUAGUUGGGGGCAUUAGUAUUCAAUUGUCAGAGGUGAAAUUCUUGGAUUUAUUGAAGACUAACUACUGCGAAAGCAUUUGCCAAGGAUGUUUUCAUUAAUCAAGAACGAAAGUUAGGGGAUCGAAGACGAUCAGAUACCGUCGUAGUCUUAACCAUAAACUAUGCCGACUAGGGAUCGGAUGAUGUUAUUUUUAAUGACUCAUUCGGCGCCUUACGGGAAACCAAAGUGUUUGGGUUCCGGGGGGAGUAUGGUCGCAAGGCUGAGACUUAAAGGAAUUGACGGAAGGGCACCACCAGGAGUGGAGCCUGCG